UACGUAGGGGGCAAGCGUUAUCCGGAAUCACUGGGUGUAAAGGGAGCGUAGACGGUAAUGUAAGUCUGGAGUGAAAGGCGGGGGCCCAACCCCGGAACUGCUCUGGAAACUGUGAAGCUGGAGUGCAGGAGAGGUAAGCGGAAUUCCUGGUGUAGCGGUGAAAUGCGUAGAUAUCAGGAGGAACACCGGCGGCGAAGGCGGCUUACUGGACUGUAACUGACGUUGAGGCUCGAAGGCGUGGGGAGCAAACAGG
rnacentral:rRNA from 1 species